rnacentral:rRNA from 1 species
GUGGGGAAUUUUGGACAAUGGGCGCAAGCCUGAUCCAGCCAUGCCGCGUGAGUGAAGAAGGCCUUCGGGUUGUAAAGCUCUUUCGGCCGGGAAGAAAUCGGCGACUCUAACAUAGUCGCUGGAUGACGGUACCGGACUAAGAAGCACCGGCUAACUACGUGCCAGCAGCCGCGGUAAUACGUAGGGUGCGAGCGUUAAUCGGAAUUACUGGGCGUAAAGCGUGCGCAGGCGGUUUUGUAAGACAGAUGUGAAAUCCCCGGGCUUAACCUGGGAACUGCGUUUGUGACUGCAAGGCUAGAGUACGGCAGAGGGGGGUGGAAUUCCUGGUGUAGCAGUGAAAUGCGUAGAUAUCAGGAGGAACACCGAUGGCGAAGGCAGCCCCCUGGGCCUGUACUGACGCUCAUGCACGAAAGCGUGGGGAGCAAACAGGAUUAGAUACCCCUGUAGUCC